GACAGCAGCAGCCACGGUAAUACAGAGGGUGCAAGCGUUAAUCGGAAUUACUGGGCGUAAAGCGCGCGUAGGUGGUUUGUUAAGUUGGAUGUGAAAUCCCCGGGCUCAACCUGGGAACUGCAUCCAAAACUGGCAAGCUAGAGUAUGGUAGAGGGUGGUGGAAUUUCCUGUGUAGCGGUGAAAUGCGUAGAUAUAGGAAGGAACACCAGUGGCGAAGGCGACCACCUGGACUGAUACUGACACUGAGGUGCGAAAGCGUGGGGAGCAAACAGGAUUAGAUACCCCAGUAGUCCCUGUCUCUUAUAC
rnacentral:rRNA from 1 species